rnacentral:rRNA from 1 species
UACGGAGGGUGCGAGCGUUGUUCGGAAUCACUGGGCGUAAAGCGCGUGUAGGCGGCCCACUAAGUCUGAUGUGAAAGCCCGGGGCUCACCCCCGGAAGUGCAUUGGAAACUGGUGGACUCGAGUCCCGGAGAGGAGAGUGGAAUUCCACGUGUAGCAGUGAAAUGCGUAGAGAUGUGGAGGAACACCGAUGGCGAAGGCAGCCCCCUGGGCUAACACUGACGCUCAUGCACGAAAGCGUGGGGAGCAAACAGG